UGGAGUUAUCAGGUAACCACUGUGACAUCCACAUCAGGAAUUAUCUAGUUUCUCUCUGCUAUUCAAGAGAAUAGAAUGGUAAAUUAUUCUCGUGUACUUUUAAAAAAAAAACGGAUAAUUUCAUAAGUCACCAUACCGUGACACCUGUACUAAUGAUGGAAGUUAUAGAAAAGAAUAGAAAAGUAAAAAUUGAGACAGAGUUCAUCUCAUAUCAACUUCAAUUCAGCGAAAGUUGAUUAAGACAACGAACGCUGGAAAACCUGGAAGCUGCCUCGGAAGAAGACCUCCAUACUGAUGAGACCUCCACAUUCGGGAUAAGACAGCCAAACCUGGAGACCGCCAUGCCAAGCCGACACUGCCCCUUCAGGAAUAGGCUGCCACAAUGGGAAACUGUUGCUUCAAGCUGGAAUACAAGACCUUCACACUGGAUUGAGACCUCAAUGCCGCGCAUUCGGACAAGACCUCCCACGGCAGGACUGGACAUGAUCACUGUGCCAGGCCACUGAAAUACCUGGAAGCUGCGGCCAAAGGAAAUCUCCAUACCGAGACCGCCAAACCUGAGACUGCCAUGCCACUGCAACAGGGCCGUGACCGCAGUGCUGGGCCGGAAGACACCUCUUCACUAGGCUGGGAGAAGAUGCCUUCUCCCAAACAAGUUAAAAAAUGUAACAUAAUAAAUGGAGAUGUUAAGAAGAAGAAAAGGGUAAAACAUGGACAGAGUAGAGGAGCCCACAAGCUGCACUGCUACAUCAUCGCUAUCUUGCUUCAACAACAGCAAACUCUGUACAAAUGAGACGAGAAUGACAACAAUGAGAUGGAAGACCUGUGGAGACUGACAGAAGCCUGAUUUGAGGGGUUCAGUACAGAAAAGAUGAGUGCAGAUUCGGUGCAUGACAAGACCUUCCAGAACUCGGGAUGAGGACAUCACUGGCUAAGCCACAUUUAUUACCCAUCCCUAAUUGCCCAGCGGGCAGUUAAGAGUCAACUACAUUGCUGUGGGCCUGGAGUCACAUGUAGGCCA